UCGGCUCAUCGCAUCCUGGAGCUGUAGAAGGUUCCAAGGGUUGGGCUGUUCGCCCAUUAAAGCGGUACGUGAGCUGGGUUCAGAACGUCGCGAGACAGUUCGGUCCCUAUCUGAUGUGGGUGUAGGAGAUUUGAGAGGGCCUGUCCUUAGUACGAGAGGACCGGGAUGGACGAACCCCUUGUGUUCCAGUUGUCACGCCAGUGGCACCGCUGGGUAGCGAAGUUCGGUCGGGAUAAACGCUGAAGGCAUAUAAGCGUGAAGCCUGCCUCAAGACGAGAUCUCCCAAUUCCGUAGGAAUUCAGAAGGCCACAGGUAGACCACCUGUUUGAUAGGCUGGGUGUGUAAGUCCAGUAAUGGAUUCAGCUUACCAGUACUAAUCGGCCGUUCGGUUUUCCA
rnacentral:rRNA from 1 species